rnacentral:rRNA from 1 species
GAUGAACGCUGGCGGCGUGCUUAACACAUGCAAGUCGAACGAAGCACCUGCAUGAUCCCUUCGGGGUNAAGUGCUUGUGACUGAGUGGCGGACGGGUGAGUAACGCGUGGGUAACCUGCCUUACACAGGGGGAUAACAGUUAGAAAUGACUGCUAAUACCGCAUAACCCGCUAGUACCGCAUGGUACAGACGGAAAAGAUUUAUCGGUGUAAGAUGGACCCGCGUCUGAUUAGCUAGUUGGUGGGGGUAAUGGCCCACCAAGGCGACGAUCAGUAGCCGGACUGAGAGGUUGAACGGCCACAUUGGGACUGAGAUACGGCCCAGACUCCUACGGGAGGCAGCAGUGGGGAAUAUUGGGCAAUGGGGGCAACCCUGACCCAGCAACGCCGCGUGAAGGAAGAAGGUCUUCGGAUUGUAAACCUUUGUGACAGGGGACGAACACAAUGACGGUACCCUGAGAGGAAGCCCCGGCUAACUACGUG